CCUACGGGUGGCAGCAGUGGGGAAUUUUGGACAAUGGGGGCAACCCUGAUCCAGCAAUGCCGCGUGAGUGAAGAAGGCCUUCGGGUUGUAAAGCUCUUUUGUCAGGGAAGAAACAGCAGCUCUAACACAGUUUGCGAAUGACGGUACCUGAAGAAUAAGCACCGGCUAACUACGUGCCAGCAGCCGCGGUAAUACGUAGGGUGCAAGCGUUAAUCGGAAUUACUGGGCGUAAAGCGUGCGCAGGCGGUUAUGUAAGACAGGCGUGAAAUCCCCGGGCUUAACCUGGGAAUUGCGCUUGUGACUGCAUAGCUAGAGUAUGUCAGAGGGGGGUAGAAUUCCACGUGUAGCAGUGAAAUGCGUAGAGAUGUGGAGGAAUACCAAUGGCGAAGGCAGCCCCCUGGGAUAAUACUGACGCUCAUGCACGAAAGCGUGGGGAGCAAACAGGAUUAGAUACCCUAGUAGUC
rnacentral:rRNA from 1 species